CCACAGGCCACCUUCUGGUGCUGUCCUGAGGGCGCCCAAGGGAUUGUAAGUGCUCGGUCCUUGAGACUUGUAAUUGCUGUCUUCUGUCUCUUCCUGGGAGAUUAGACCCUUCAAAUAUAGUUUCCCAGCGUGUGAGGCUACCAUGCCUGGUCCAGGUGAUCAUCCUGUUGCUGGGAAGGGUGACCUGAUUCCGCCCCCUCUCCAGGAUGGAGCCCUGGGGCUGUCGCUGGAGAUCGGGGAGAACCGCCUGGUGAUGGGGGGCCCCCAGCAGCUGUAUCAUCUAGACGCUUAUAUCCCGCUGCAGAUCAACUCUCAUGAGAGCAAGGCAGCCUUCCACCGGAAGAGAAAGCAAUUAAUGGUGGCCAUGCCGCUUCUGCCGGUGCCUUCUUGAUCAGGGUGUCUCCUUGUGCUUCUGAGAUGUGGAGAAGAGGCUGCUGGCUUCCCUAAAGUUGAAAUAAAAGAUUUUUGCCUUU
rnacentral:sRNA from 1 species